rnacentral:lncRNA from 1 species
AUGUUAUAAGGUUCGUAUAUAAGGCGUUAUUGUGUGAGCAUUAUUUCUUCUGAAUUAGGGAUAUAGCUGGCUUGUUGUAUUUAUCUUCUUUUAUAGUUUAUUUUGAUAAUCUUCCCUCAAAUAUAAGCUUUAAGUUGAACCAAGUGAAUCUAUGUUCAAAAGUUUACUGGUAUGGGCCACUGAAAGUUUGUCUAGUCGUUAGCAUCAGGACCUCUAAAUUAGUCUCUCUCUAAUUAAAUUAGGGUCGGCGGGGAUAUUUGGCUUUUUCUCCACAUUUUUGUGAGUUACGAUCCGAAUGACAUUAGAUGGCUAAAUUAUUUUUAUAUUUUUUGGUAAAUAGACAAAAAGAGUGAUCGAAUCAUACAAUUAACUUAAUCAACACAUGGUCUAAGCUUUUUGGCAUGUUUAUAAUAUGUUUUUCCAUCCUUAUAAAAUGACAUUUAUAAUAUUUUCAUCUAGAUUAUUCAAAUCUUGGGAUAUUACACCAAUCUUGACAUGUAACUCUCCUUGUAUUCUUUUCAAGCAGGACAAAAUUGAAUGGCUAAGAUCAGUUUUGACUAAAAUCCAAUGACUAAACAACUUUUUAAGGAACACAUUGGAACCACAAAACCACAUAAAGCUAAAGGUGGCUUUCCAAAUGCUUGAUAGUGAUUCUUACACUGAAAAACAAAAACAGUUCUCUAACUUGACCAAGAAAACAAAGAACUUUAGUCCAAAAGUUUGGAUGUCAAAGUAACCUAAGCAAGUUAAGUUCUGCUUGGCCAUAUUCCCAAUUUCAUCACUGAUGCAUGAGACAGCAAUGAAACAUCAAUACUGAAAAUCGGAUAUGUUAAAAAGAUGUGAUAAUGGUAAUUCGUACAAGUAAAAAAGAGGUUCGUUUUUUGGCAAGUGUAACUUUGCCAUGUGGUAAUGAAGUUGACCUUUGCUUCUUAGGGUUGAUGGGGAGGGGACAGUCGGUCAAAAUUUCAUAUAAUGGCUGGAAACAAUGAUAGGAAAGGGAAAAGACAAUAACCAAACUCUACAAGGAAAGUUGUAGCAUGCGUGAUUAUGAUUUGUGAAACUUAAGAAAAUCUACACGUUGUUUAUCAUAAAAAGGGUACCAAUAAUUGGUUGGAUAUGAUAUGAACGUUAUCAUAAAAAUAAUUUAGUUAUGAAUUAGAUAAUUCACAUUUUUCAUUGUCAACUUUUGCAAUCGAAAAAGUUAUAAGACUUUGUAGUUUGUUAUUACGAUUUGAUAUUAGUUACGAAUUAUUAUGGUAAUAUUACGAGAGUUGUACGAUAUGUCAUUUUAUUUAGUCUUCUUCAAUGGUCCGCAGCUGACACAUCCAUCGCGUGGCCAAAUCAUGUGGUGGGCUAGGAGUUAUCUUUGACUGGGCCAAGUGCCUCUUGUUCUAUGGAUUCCUUCAAGUAGUGUGUCAAAAUUAAGAAUUUUAGAGAUAUUUAUAAAUAAAAAAAGAUAAUUAUAAAGUUUUAGAAAAAGAAGCAAAAUUAUUGUUUGUUUUUAGUAUUGUUUCCAUUUUCUUUCAUAAAUUCCUCCAUCAGUUCAUCAUCCAAAUUAUAACAUGGCCUAGUUAGUUUUUUAGGCGAUAUUUGGAUUAAUAAUUUUGUACCAGAAAAGUUAAAGAAUUUAACUGUUUAGAACAGUUAGAUCCUUGAACUUUUUUUCUUUUUUUUUUUUCCACCAAAUCUAUAAUCCAAGUAUAGACUUUGUGAAAUGUCCAAGAGAAGUUGUUAAGAGCAUUAGACCAUGCAAUGCUACGGUCCUCAAAUUUGAAUGAAGAAAAGUUUUCUGAAUACAAAAUAAAUGAUUGCGAUUCACUUGAUGAGCGUGUUGGGUCUUAUAACUAGCUGAUCAGUCUGGACCACUCAUUUUAAAUUUAAAAAACUUUUCUUAGUCUAAUUUUAAUUACGGUAAGAGUUCCCGAGACCAUGAGCAUCAAGCAUCUCUACUCUCUUCUUCAAGCCUCAAUGGGUUACACAAUUACCUAACUAAAUACCAAUAAACCAACUCAUUUAUAGGGCCCAUCAUGGUCAGUAAUCAGUAUCAUUCUUAUAUGUUUCUAUUUUCAUUUUUCAAACAACACAUAAAAUAUAUUUUUCUUUCACUAAAAAUGGGCUGGGGGUUUGUCACCAAAAAAAUUAAUAGAAAUUUUUACCUUUUUGUGGAGAGAAAAAAAUAUGAUGAACAAUAUGAAAAAUUAAUAGAAGUGUACGUUUUUUUUCUUCUUUUUUAUGGGUAAUAUAUGGAUUUUAUUUAUAUAUUUUGUAAUGGUACUGUUUUUUUUCUGUCAUGAUUUUGUAAUGGCAGUUAAAAGAUAAUGUUAUGUUGUGGGCUUAUGGCCCAAAUCUAGUUUGAUAAAGUGGGAAGAAGGUUUUUGAUGUUCAUUACUUGUUGGGUCAUAUCCAAUCUAGUCAUAUCCUUCUCUUAGUCCUUAUUGGGCCGAGCAAUUAAGUUGAUCCAAGCAAAAAAAAUGGAUCGAACUUUUCUUUCAAUAAUAAA